rnacentral:misc_RNA from 1 species
AGAAUUCAAGCUCUUAGCAUGGCUAUUUCUCUCUUCUCCCUCCCUUCCUUGCAAGCGCCUUUUCUCCUGCUUUUCUACGUUUCUGCCACUUAUGUCACAGCACAAUCACAAGAAUUCACAAACUUUUUAUGCUCUGCGGAUGUAGAGUCCCGUUGCCGAACUUACAUUGCUUAUCUUGCCCAACCACCAAACUUUCUGAAUCUAGGAAACAUAUCUGAUUUGUUUUCAGUCAGUCGUCUGGAAAUAGCAAGUGCCAGCAAUUUGGUGUCUGAGGACACCCCUUUAAUUCCAAACCAGCUCUUACUUGUGCCUGUAGCUUGUGGAUGCACAGGUAACCAUUCUUU